rnacentral:rRNA from 1 species
AGCUCCAAUAGCGUAUAUUUUAGUUGUUGCAGUUAAAAAGCUCGUAGUUGAAUUUCUGGUGGGAGAAUGCGGUGUGACUCUUUGAGUUAUUACUUGCACUCUCUGACCAUCCUUGAGUGGAACCAUUUUGGCAUUAGGUUGUUGAGAUGGCGAUGCUCAUCGUUUACUGUGAAAAAAUUAGAGUGUUCAAAGCAGACUUAUGUCGUUGAAUACAUUAGCAUGGAAUAAUGAGAUAGGACAGCAGUGCUAUUUUGUUGGUUUGCGCGCCGUUGUAAUGAUGAAUAGGGACAGUUGGGGGUAUUCGUAUUCACUUGUAAGAGGUGAAAUUCUUAGAUUAAGGGAAGACGAACUACUGCGAAAGCAUUUACCAAGGAUGUUUUCA